CGGGCGCGGACGCGCAGCAUGGCGGUGGAGGACGAGGGGCUCCGGGUCUUCCAGAGCGUGAAGAUCAAGAUCGGAAAGGAGGGGCUUGCCGUGCAACCAGAGCUUCUAGCUUUGAACCAUAGGUGAAGGCGAUGAACAGACGUGUCUACUGCAGCAGCACCUGUGGCCAGUGGCUGAGUGAGCAAAUAGCAAACAGUAGAAGCAAUGUUGAGGAGUUGGGGUCUCCCCACCAAUCUCCUGUCGAACUGUCACCCCGUCGUUGGAAGUGGGGCCUGGUGGGAAGCGACUGGAUCUUGAGGGUGGAUUUAUAUGAACAGCUCAGCGCUAUCCCCUUGGUGCUGUUCUCACGAUAGUGAGUGAGUUCUCGUGAGAUCCGGUGGCACACCUCCCACCUCGCGCUCUUGCCCCCGCUCUCGCCGUGUGAGACACCUGCUCCCCCUUCACCUUCUGCCAUGACUGGAAGCUUCCCGAGGCCUCCCCAGAAGCAGAUGCCUCCAUACUUCCUGUACGGCUUGCAGCACCGUGACCAAUAAACCUCGUUUAUUUUGAAUUACCCAGUCUCAGGUGUUUCUUUAUAGCAAUGCAAGAACAGCCCAAUGAGUAAUCGCCAACUGAAACGGUGAUUAUGUCAUGUGCAUCCACAUGUGGGCUGCUCUGUGGCUUUCAAGGAACAUAUUAAGCCCAGGCCAAACCACAUGACUCGCAGGAAGUUCCACGGCAUAAGAUUCAAAAGAAGCAAAAUGAGAGCGCCCAACACCACCCCCUAGAAGAAUGAUAAACACAGAUCAGAUGAGUGUGCGCAGAUCAGGGAUAAGACCCACACAGCCUGCUAAUUGGAUUACCUGUGGGAUGGCAGGAGUGCUGUGGUAGGAAGAGAGACAGGAAUACAAGGCCUUCCGUAGCAGCAAGUAUAUGUCUAUUAUGCAUCAAUGUGCAACUAUGUAUACGGUGGGUGAGUGAGUGAAGAACAAAGGCGGAGCUUAGAAAUCAUCCCUUCACAGAUUGCAAGAACAGUGUCGGCUGUGGAGGACG
rnacentral:lncRNA from 1 species